rnacentral:rRNA from 1 species
UACGGGGGGAGCAAGCGUUGUUCGGAUUUACUGGGCGUAAAGGGCGCGUAGGCGGCCAGCACAAGUCAGUUGUGAAAUCUCCGAGCUUAACUCGGAAAGGUCAACUGAUACUGUGCGGCUAGAGUGCGGAAGGGGCAACUGGAAUUCUUGGUGUAGCGGUGAAAUGCGUAGAUAUCAAGAGGAGCACCUGCGGCGAAGGCGGGUUGCUGGGCCGACACUGACGCUGAGGCGCGAAAGCUAGGGGAGCGAACGGG